rnacentral:RNase_P_RNA from 1 species
UUAGCAGGUCACCUUAUCGCUGUCCUGAUUUUAUCGGGAGGGAGGAAAGUCCGGACACCACAGAGCAGCAUAGCGGGUAACGCCCGUCUCUCGAAUUUUCGAGAAGGACAAGUGCAACAGAAAGAAUGUACAGGUAAUGCUGUAGUGAAAUCAGGUAAACUCUAUGCGGUGCAAUGCCAAAUAAACCGAUGCUUGAGGGCUGCUCGCUCGAGUCGGAGGGUAGGCAGAUAGAUUGUGUCAGCAAUGGCUCAACCAGAUAAAUGAUAAGGCUUUCUGAUUUUUUCAGAAAUGUACAGAAUCCGGCUUAUGGCCUGCUUUUUUA